rnacentral:rRNA from 1 species
GAGCGGCGAACGGGUGAGUAACACGUGAGUAACCUGCCCCCGACUCUGGGAUAAGCCCGGGAAACUGGGUCUAAUACCGGAUACGACACCUCCUCGCAUGGGGUGGGUGUGGAAAGUCUUUUCGGUUGGGGAUGGACUCGCGGCCUAUCAGCUUGUUGGUGGGGUAACGGCCUACCAAGGCGACGACGGGUAGCCGGCCUGAGAGGGCGACCGGCCACACUGGGACUGAGACACGGCCCAGACUCCUACGGGAGGCAGCAGUGGGGAAUAUUGCGCAAUGGGCGAAAGCCUGACGCAGCGACGCCGCGUGGGGGAUGACGGCCUUCGGGUUGUAAACCUCUUUCAGCAGGGACGAAGUUGACGUGUACCUGCAGAANAAGCGCCGGCUAACUACGUGCCAGCAGCCGCGGUAAUACGUAGGGCGCAAGCGUUGUCCGGAAUUAUUGGGCGUAAAGAGCUCGUAGGUGGCUUGUCACGUCGGGUGUGAAAGCUUGGGGCUUAACUCCAGGUCUGCAUUCGAUACGGNCUGGCUAGAGGUAGGUAGGGNAGAACGGAAUUCCU